rnacentral:rRNA from 1 species
AUUGAACGCCGGCGGCAUGCCUUACACAUGCAAGUCGAACGGUAACAGGUCUUCGGAUGCUGACGAGUGGCGAACGGGUGAGUAGUACAUCGGAACGUGCCUAGUAGUGGGGGAUAACUACUCGAAAGAGUGGCUAAUACCGCAUGAGAUCUACGGAUGAAAGCAGGGGAUCGCAAGACCUUGUGCUACUAGAGCGGCCGAUGGCAGAUUAGGUAGUUGGUGGGAUAAAAGCUUACCAAGCCGACGAUCUGUAGCUGGUCUGAGAGGACGAUCAGCCACACUGGGACUGAGACACGGCCCAGACUCCUACGGGAGGCAGCAGCGGGGAAUUUUGGACAAUGGGCGCAAGCCUGAUCCAGCAAUGCCGCGUGCAGGAUGAAGGCCUUCGGGUUGUAAACUGCUUUUGUACGGAACGAAAAGCCCCGGGUUAAUACCCUGGGGUCAUGACGGUACCGUAAGAAUAAGCACCGGCUAACUACGUGCCAGCCGCCGCAGUAA